AACUUUUGGCAAUGGAUCUCUUGGUUCUGGCAUCGAUGAAGAAUGCAGCGAAAUGCGAUAAGUAGUGUGAAUUGCAGAAUUCAGUGAAUCAUCGAAUUUUUGAACGCACAUUGCGCCCCUUGGUAUCCCGAGGGGCAUGCCUGUUCGAGCGUCAUUUCAACCUCUCAAGCUUUGCUUGGUAUUGGGCAUCAUUCUCUCCUUUUUAAUAAGGGUAAAUGUGCCUUAAAUAUAGGCAGCGGCAUGUACUAGUUCCGAGCGUAGCAGUUUUAAACAUUUUCGCUUUAGGAGUGUAGUGUAGUGUCAGCUAUAAUCAAAGUCUUAACUUUUUAUUUGACCUCGGAUCAGGUAGGGAUACCCGCUGAAUUUAAGCAUAUCAAUAAGCGGAGGCU
rnacentral:misc_RNA from 1 species